rnacentral:rRNA from 1 species
UACGGAGGGGCUGAGCGUUGUUCGGAAUUACUGGGCGUAAAGCGCGACGUAGGCGGCUUUGUAAGUUAGAGGUGAAAGCCCGGGCUCGAACUCCGGAAUUGGCCUUUAAGUCGUAGCAUCGCUCGAAUUGUGGAGAGGUGAAGUGGAAUUCCGAGUGUAGAGGUGAAAUUCGUAGAUAUUGGGAAGAAGCACCGGUCGGCGAAGGCGGGUCUCUGGGCAGUAACUGACGCGAGGAGCGAAAGCGUGGGAGCGAACAGG